UGGCAUAGUUCAAACUAACUUAGGAGGGUCACAAAGCGGUUCUGGUAAUUUACUUAAUAACGUAGCUGGCAUCGCACAAAGCAAUAUUCAGCAGGGACAACAGGGUGGAAUUGG